rnacentral:rRNA from 1 species
GACGAGCGCUUGCGGCGUGCUUAACACAUGCAAGUCGAACGGAAAGGCCCUGCUUUUGUGGGGUGCUCGAGUGGCGAACGGGUGAGUAACACGUGAGUAACCUGCCCUUGACUUUGGGAUAACUUCAGGAAACUGGGGCUAAUACCGGAUAGGAGCUCCUGCUGCAUGGUGGGGGUUGGAAAGUUUCGGCGGUUGGGGAUGGACUCGCGGCUUAUCAGCUUGUUGGUGGGGUAGUGGCUUACCAAGGCUUUGACGGGUAGCCGGCCUGAGAGGGUGACCGGCCACAUUGGGACUGAGAUACGGCCCAGACUCCUACGGGAGGCAGCAGUGGGGAAUAUUGCACAAUGGGCGGAAGCCUGAUGCAGCAACGCCGCGUGCGGGAUGACGGCCUUCGGGUUGUAAACCGCUUUCGCCUGUGACGAAGCGUGAGUGACGGUAAUGGGUAAAGAAGCACCGGCUAACUACGUGCCAGCAGCCGCGGUGAUACGUAGGGUGCGAGCGUUGUCCGGAUUUAUUGGGCGUAAAGGGCUCGUAGGUGGUUGAUCGCGUCGGAAGUGUAAUCUUGGGGCUUAACCCUGAGCGUGCUUUCGAUACGGGUUGACUUGAGGAAGGUAGGGGAGAAUGGAAUUCCUGGUGGAGCGGUGGAAUGCGCAGAUAUCAGGAGGAACACCAGUGGCGAAGGCGGUUCUCUGGGCCUUUCCUGACGCUGAGGAGCGAAAGCGUGGGGAGCGAACAGGCUUAGAUACCCUGGUAGUCCACGCUGUAAACGGUGGGUACUAGGUGUGGGGUCCAUUCCACGGGUUCCGUGCCGUAGCUAACGCUUUAAGUACCCCGCCUGGGGAGUACGGCCGCAAGGCUAAAACUCAAAGGAAUUGACGGGGCCCCGCACAAGCGGCGGAGCAUGCGGAUUAAUUCGAUGCAACGCGUAGAACCUUACCUGGGUUUGACAUGGAUCGGGAGUGCUCAGAGAUGGGUGUGCCUCUUUUGGGGUCGGUUCACAGGUGGUGCAUGGCUGUCGUCAGCUCGUGUCGUGAGAUGUUGGGUUAAGUCCCGCAACGAGCGCAACCCUUGUUCACUGUUGCCAGCACGUUAUGGUGGGGACUCAGUGGAGACCGCCGGGGUCAACUCGGAGGAAGGUGGGGAUGACGUCAAGUCAUCAUGCCCCUUAUGUCCAGGGCUUCACGCAUGCUACAAUGGCUGGUACAGAGAGUGGCGAGCCUGUGAGGGUGAGCGAAUCUCGGAAAGCCGGUCUCAGUUCGGAUUGGGGUCUGCAACUCGACCUCAUGAAGUCGGAGUCGCUAGUAAUCGCAGAUCAGCAACGCUGCGGUGAAUACGUUCCCGGGGCU